rnacentral:rRNA from 1 species
GACGAACGCUGGCGGCGUGCUUAACACAUGCCAGUCGAACGGAAAGGCCCUGCUUGCAGGGUACUCGAGUGGCGAACGGGUGAGUAACACGUGGGUGAUCUGCCCUGCACUUCGGGAUAAGCCUGGGAAACUGGGUCUAAUACCGGAUAGGAGCCAUUUUUAGUGUGAUGGUUGGAAAGUUUUUUCGGUGUAGGAUGAGCUCGCGGCCUAUCAGCUUGUUGGUGGGGUAAUGGCCUACCAAGGCGGCGACGGGUAGCCGGCCUGAGAGGGUGGACGGCCACAUUGGGACUGAGAUACGGCCCAGACUCCUACGGGAGGCAGCAGUGGGGAAUAUUGCACAAUGGGCGCAAGCCUGAUGCAGCGACGCCGCGUGGGGGGUGACGGCCUUCGGGUUGUAAACUCCUUUCGCUAGGGACGAAGCUUUUUGUGACGGUACCUAGAUAAGAAGCACCGGCUAACUACGUG